UAACAAGGUUUCCGUAGGUGAA
rnacentral:siRNA from 1 species